UAUUCAGUUCCUUAUUGCUCUAAUCCCCUGUUAUAGUUAAUAAUUCCUUAUAUUAAACUUUCUCUGUUCAAAUUACUGUGUAGUUUCUCUCUCCUG